CGACUUCCCGACUAGGAACCAAUCAGCAGGUCCGCGCCGGGAUGUGAAAGCCAAGGGGUGGAACCGGUAGCCCCGUUUCCGGUGGCAGCGUCUGGGGAAGGGGCGGCAGGCGCCAUGUCCGGCCGGGAAGGUGGCAAAAAGAAGCCCCUGAAACAACCCAAGAAGCAGGCCAAGGAGAUGGAUGAGGAGGAUAAGGCUUUCAAACAGAAACAGAAAGAGGAACAGAAGAAACUGGAGGAGCUGAAAGCGAAGGCCGCGGGGAAGGGCCCCCUGGCCACAGGUGGAAUUAAGAAAUCUGGCAAAAAGUAAGCUGCUCCUUGGCACCUGAAGUGAUGCUUCCCUCGACCCCACACGUGUCUGAACAUCUGGCGUCUCGGCCGGAGCAUCUUUAGCCGCCCAUAGUUAGAAUGUAGUGUCACUUUGGAGCCCGUUGUACAUUUACAAAUAAACUUUUGUAAAAAAAAAAAAAAAAUGGGGGGAAAAA